ensembl:misc_RNA Metazoa_SRP Metazoan signal recognition particle RNA
GCUGGGCAUGGUGGUGUGUGCCUGUAGUCCCAGCUACUCAGGAGGCUGAGGCAGAAGAAUCACUUGAGUCCAGGAUUUCAAGGCUGUAGUGAGCUAUGAUUGUGCCACUGCACUCCAGCCUAAACAACAGAGUGAGAACCUAUCUCUU